rnacentral:rRNA from 1 species
UACAGAGGUCCCAAGCGUUGUUCGGAUUCACUGGGCGUAAAGGGUGCGUAGGCGGUCGGGUAAGUCUGAUGUGAAAUCUCACAGCUUAACUGUGAAACUGCAUUGGAUACUAUCCGGCUAGAGGAAUGGAGGGGAGACUGGAAUACUUGGUGUAGCAGUGAAAUGCGUAGAUAUCGGGAGGAACACCUGUGGCGAAAGCGGCUCACUGGACCAUAACUGACGCUGAUGCACGAAAGCUGGGGGAGCAAACAGG